rnacentral:rRNA from 1 species
UACAGAGGAUGCAAGCGUUAUCCGGAAUGAUUGGGCGUAAAGCGCGUGUAGGCGGCCAGGUAGGUCCGCUGUGAAAACCCGAGGCUCAACCUCGGGACGUCGGCGGAAACCAUCUGGCUAGAGUCCGGAAGAGGAGAGUGGAAUUCCAGGUGUAGCGGUGAAAUGCGUAGAGAUCCGGAGGAACACCAGCGGCGAAGGCGGCAUCCUGGACUGGUCCUGACACUCAGGAGCGAAAGCGUGGGGAGCGAUCCGG